CCAUGUCCGGCGCUGACGUGACCUCUCUUCUUCCUGUUCUUCUUGAAUCUGGUUGUCAUUUUCGCCGAUCUGCUACACUCUCCUCCCUCCCUUUCUCUCUUUGCGGCUAG
rnacentral:sRNA from 1 species